GGGCAAGUAGCUCAGUUGGCAGAGCAUUGGGCUAGUAUUCCAAAGGUCGUAGGUUCGAUUCCCACCGUGGCCA